rnacentral:rRNA from 1 species
UACGGAGGAUGCGAGCGUUAUCCGGAUUUAUUGGGUUUAAAGGGUGCGCAGGCGGAUUUUUAAGUCAGCGGUCAAAUCGUGGGGCUCAACCCCAUCCAGCCGUUGAAACUGGGGAUCUAGAGUGUGCGAGAGGUAUGCGGAAUGCGUGGUGUAGCGGUGAAAUGCAUAGAUAUCACGCAGAACCCCGAUUGUGAAGGCAGCAUACCGGUGCACAACUGACGCUCAGGCACGAAAGCGUGGGUAUCGAACAGG